UUCCUGGUGGCUCAGAUGGAAAAAGCAUCUGCCUACCAUGCAGGAGACCCAGGUUCAAUCCCUGGGUUGGGAA
rnacentral:tRNA from 1 species